UGGCUCAAGAGGCAGUAAAGCAAAGGAAGUGAGGGAGGAGAUGUCAGUUUAAAGAAAAAGCUCUUCAAAGGCCAAACUAGUUCUCAAGAAGAAAUGAUACCUUCAAGACACGCUCCAAUGGAUAUGUCACUUCCUUGGCUAUCCUACAAGGAGAAAGCAGAAGAAGAAACACCCAGGAAGCAGAUGCAGAGGAACUGCUGCUAGAGUUCCCUGGACUGGUUUCCCAGAUGUGGAAAGUUCCGAAGACCUACAGAGUAACUAUUCAGGAAGACAAAAGUCUGAAUGAGAUCUAUGAUCUUAUAGAGUUACCUGUAUUUCUGAUGUAGUAAGGCCACUUUUUGGGUUGCUUCUUCCAAUACUUUUUCAUCUUGUAACCAUCCCUGAAGAAAACACACAGUGCCACAGACAUGUAAACCUCUGUUCUUUAUUACUGAAGAACCUGACCAAAACACCAUCCAUUCAAUUUUAGUCUGGAUGCCCAAUUUCUGGUGACUUUGCAGAAUGUGUUGGCGCUGAUUGCUCUGGACUGACCAUACCAGGAAACCACUCAUCUGCUUUCUGACUAUGGAUGUGAUAGACAGAACUCUGGAUAUCUUGGACCAAGAGGUAACCUAGUGCAUGGGAAGGAUGCGCUGAGGAUGCUGGAGCACUAAGAGAAAGAGCGAGCAUCCUUGAAGACUCUGUGGAGCUGUCAGACAAGCUCUGCAAGGCUGACUUCUGAACUUCUCUCACAGAAGUCAAUGAUAUUUAGGGUUUUUGUUAUAUAUAGCUAUACUUAAUCCUUACUGAUACAACUUCUCUAUCAGGUGCUCCUAUACCUAAUCGAUGAGCAAUCCUAUUGAUUGACUCUAAUAGGCCCAUUCUCUCUCAAUCCAGCUAAUGCCUUUCUGUUCAGUUAUAUAUUGUAAACCUAUGCCUAGAUUAUGGCACAGGUAUUCCUAAACUGGUGUCCUGCCUAUAGUCUUGCCAUCUCUGAUCUACCUUCUAUGAUGGGUGAUCUUCGUGAAAUGUAAAUUAAAUGAUUCCAUUAAAUUUGAAAAUCUC